rnacentral:tRNA from 1 species
GCGAGAGUGGUGGAAUCGGUAGACACGCCAGCCUUAGGAGCUGGUGCGUAAGCAUGAGGGUUCGAGUCCCUCCCCUCGCA